rnacentral:tRNA from 1 species
GGUGAGAUGGCCGAGCGGUCUAAGGCGCCAGACUAGGGAUCUGGUCCGAAAGGGCGUGGGUUUGAAUCCCACUCUCAUCA